GAAAAAUAAACAUAUUUCAAAUAUGAAAUCAUUCUUGUGUGGACAAAAAUAGAAAACAAACAAUAAUAGAAAUUAUUCUGAACCAAAAUGACAAAAAUGGCAUAAAAACACAUCGAUUCUUAUAUGGGUCAUUUUGGACCCACUUAUUGAAGAGAGUAGGAUCCAAUCACUGGAGCAACUGAGGCUUAAAGAGAUAAUAACUGUAGCAAAAUGCUGCUCAGUGUGAAAAGUUUAACCACCCAACCUCAGAAUCUCGGUGCAUUCAACUGUCCUGUUUUUCCUCCUUUCUCUGCCUCCUGAGUGAGUUUCUCUGUCUUUGCCUGCGAGUGAGCUGAGAAAACUGUCAAAGAUGUGUUCCCAUGACAACCUCCAUCCAGCAUUAGAAACAUGAAGUGUAAGGGAAUAUCUAAAUGUGUGUGAAAGGGAAAGAGAGCGAGAGGGAGAGAGGGCGAAAUAGACACAUGAUGUGGGUGGAAGCAGUUUCAAAGGCAGCACAGAGAAACUUGGACAUAAAUAUAAAGUACAUGUGGUUGAAAGGUAUCCAUUAAUGUGACCGGUGUAGUUUCUAUGACCAUAUAUGCACACAGAAAUACACCACCGUUUAAAAGUUGUCCUUAUUUAUCCUUAUAAUGUCCUUAUUUUUGAAAGAAAAAAAUUUUUUUUCAAUGAAGAUCACAUUAAAUGAAUGAUAAAUCCAGUGUAGACAUUGUUAAUGUGGUAAAUGACUAUUGUAGCUGGAAACAGCUGAUUUUUAAUGGAAUAUCUCCAUAGAGGUACAGAGGAACAUUUCCAGCAACCAUCACUCCUGUGUUCUAAUGCUACAUUGUGUUAGCUAAUGGUGUUGAAAGGCUCAUUGAUGAUAAGAAAACCCUUGUGCAGUUAUCUUAGCACAUGGAUAAAAGUGGGAGUUUUCAUGGAAAACAUGAAAUUGCCUGGGUGACCACAAACUUUUGAACAACAGUGUAUAAACACACCAUUUUAAUCUCUUUAAACAUUACAGAAAGUGACCCCCUUUAACAUUUUUUUCCAAUCUUUCCAAACAUCCCACGAGGGCACCUUCAUUUUAUAUCCUCACAUGAAUUUUGAAGCAAAAUAAAGUUGUAUCCCAGGCUGAGGUCCCAGAGCACAGAUUACACUGGGUGUGUUUGUGUUUGUUAUUGGCGUCACGUCCAGCUCAGCAAUGAAGGACUUCCACAAGUGUUGCCACUAGAAAACGUUGCAAGAGCUCAAAAUGAUGGACCUCAUUUACAUUUGGCACAGUGGUAAUUUACUCCUGCCUCGCUGAGAUUAUCAUCUUGGGUUCAGUUAUGAAAACAGCUAUAAAUAGGUCAUGUUUCAGGAGAAAGCCUCUGUCUCCUGUAAAAUUCAUGUUGUGACAUGUUUCUGGCACCUGUCAGCUCAUGGCUCAAGGUGUCAUUCUGCACUUCUCACCUUCAGCGCUGAUAGAAAUUGUUCACACCCCAUGGAAGUUUUCAGCGUUUCACCAUUGAAUCACAGUCGAUUUAAUGUGGCUUGAAAUGAAAACAUAUUCCUACAAUGAAAUGUCAUUUUACCAAAAAUCCAAAAUGUCACCACUUUAAGUCAGUAGUCAGUAGAUGUAUGGAAGCAAAUCAGACUCAUCAGAUUCUGAAUUUUAAAAGCUGCUGAAUUUCUUACUUUGAAUUUUUUUGCAUCAAAAUUUCGUAUGUGAAUUUUUUAUGCCUGAAUUUAGCUCAUCAAAAUUCUAAAAACCAGUUAAAAAUUCAAUGUCUUCAAAAUUCGCCAUCAAAAAAAUUCAAUGUCUUCAAAAUUCACCAUCAAAAAAAUUUGAUGUGUUCAAAAUUCACCAUCAAAAAAUUCAAUGUUCAAAAUUCGCCAUCAAAAAAUUCAGUGUUCAAAAUUCGCCAUCAAAAAAUUCAAUGUUAAAAAAUUUGCUGUCAAAAAAUUCGCUGUUCACAUCUGGGGGACUCAGGCGUAAACAAUCGAUCCUGGCCAAAAUCGAACCAACGCCCAGCCAAUCACGUGGCGCUCCUCCGGUCAUGUGACGUAGACGGUUCACCUCACAAGACCGGGGUCAACCACGGCUACCAGCAUGAACGACGGCGCUUCAAUGCACAAUGAGGGACGUCUGCAGAGACUGAGAAAGAGUCUCACCACAUCCUGACAUGAGGAAAAAGACUUUAUUGAAGACUACAAUGAGAAAAACUAUCAGACAGCAGACGGCUGCAUUCAAGGCUACAGGAGGAGUCCUAAGAGGACGAGCCGGUCCACCUGAUGGCGGCCAGUCGCUGUGGUUCAAAGCCAACACCGACUACGUGGACUUCUACUGGACCACAUGGAGGCCUUCAAACUGGACCAACAAGUUCACAGACUCCCCGACUCGUGGGUCUGAGGACGCCGCUGAGCCUCGGUCCAGCCGGCCUCCUGUCUGUGGGUGUUUGAGUGCUGAGAGGUUUGUGGAUGCAUGUGAAUGUUCUGUGUUGAAACAGCAGCUUUGGACUCAGUAACGCCGGGAAAAACCAAGAGCUCCUUUAUUUGUGACUUCCACUAAAAAACUGAAGAAAAUAAGUUUGACAGGGUUCUGACUGAUAACAGAUUAUUAAAUAAUGAAAGUAAUCGUUUAAAUAUUCCUUUAAACAAACCUUUUAGGUCUACAUUUCCUUUACACUGACUUCUUGGUAUUUUGGGUGGAAUAUACCAUUAAGCCCAAUGUUCAAGGGUUCUUCUGGGAAUAUACCAUUAAACCAACCUUUUAGGAAAAUGUUCCAAGAUGUUGGGUAG
ensembl:lncRNA